CCUACGGGAGGCUGCAGUGGGGGAUAUUGCACAAUGGGGGAAACCCUGAUGCAGCGACGCCGCGUGUGGGAAGACGGUCCUCUGGAUUGUAAACCACUGUCCCCAGGGACGAAGAUGACGGUACCUGGGGAGGAAGCUCCGGCUAACUACGUGCCAGCAGCCGCGGUAAUACGUAGGGAGCGAGCGUUGUCCGGAAUUACGGGGUGAAAGGGGAGCGUAGGCGGGACUGCAAGUUGGUUGUAAAAUCUACCGGCUCAACCGGUAGCCGCACUCAAAACUGCAGUUCUUGAGUGAAGUAGAGGCAGGCGGAAUUCCUAGUGUAGCGGUGAAAUGCGUAGAUAUUAGGAGGAACACCAGUGGCGAAGGCGGCCUGCUGGGCUUUUACUGACGCUGAGGCUCGAAAGUGUGGGGAGCAAACAGGAUUAGAUACCCGUGUAGUC
rnacentral:rRNA from 1 species